rnacentral:rRNA from 1 species
UACGAAGGGGGCUAGCGUUGCUCGGAAUCACUGGGCGUAAAGCGCACGUAGGCGGCUUGUUAAGUCAGGGGUGAAAUCCUGGAGCUCAACUCCAGAACUGCCUUUGAUACUGGCGAGCUUGAGUCCGGGAGAGGUGAGUGGAACUGCGAGUGUAGAGGUGAAAUUCGUAGAUAUUCGCAAGAACACCAGUGGCGAAGGCGGCUCACUGGCCCGGUACUGACGCUGAGGUGCGAAGGCGUGGGGAGCGAACGGG